rnacentral:rRNA from 1 species
ACGGGUGAGUAACGCGUGGGAACGUGCCUUCCGGUUCGGAAUAACCCUGGGAAACUAGGGCUAAUACCGGAUACGCCCUUAUGGGGAAAGGUUUACUGCCGGAAGAUCGGCCCGCGUCUGAUUAGCUAGUUGGUGGGGUAACGGCCUACCAAGGCGACGAUCAGUAGCUGGUCUGGGAGGAUGAUCAGCCACACUGGGACUGAGACACGGCCCAGACUCCUACGGGAGGCAGCAGUGGGGAAUAUUGGACAAUGGGCGCAAGCCUGAUCCAGCCAUGCCGCGUGAGUGAUGAAGGCCUUAGGGUUGUAAAGCUCUUUUAUCCGGGACGAUAAUGACGGUACCGGAGGAAUAAGCCCCGGCUAACUUCGUGCCAGCAGCCGCGGUAAUACGAAGGGGGCUAGCGUUGCUCGGAAUCACUGGGCGUAAAGGGCGCGUAGGCGGCGUUUUAAGUCGGGGGUGAAAGCCUGUGGCUCAACCACAGAAUGGCCUUCGAUACUGGGACGCUUGAGUAUGGUAGAGGUUGGUGGAACUGCGAGUGUAGAGGUGAAAUUCGUAGA